rnacentral:misc_RNA from 1 species
AAAAAUUUCAAAACAUUUGGCGCCUGAAGAAAUCUGAUCCCAUUUUUUAUUCUAAGAUUAUUUGAUGAAACCCUAGUAGUUGUUCUUCUAGUGAAGAGAUUUCGACGGAGAACUGGCGGAGAUGGAUAGCGACAACGAGUUUGUGCUCUUCUCAGAGCCCGAAAAGCAGCCUUCUCCGGUCCCUGAAAGAAGGCUCAAACGUCUAAGAAAAGCUACUGAGAUGUUUCCCAAAGAUUCAAUCCCCAGUCCUCCUUCUAAUGAUGCGGCUUUGGUUCAGGAGGUGAACACAUCCAUAUUUGAAAAUCUAGAUAGAGAAGAAAGGAGCGAGAAAGAUUUCGAAUUCGAGGAACUAGAUGUGAGAUCUGGGUCCCAAUUGGAGGGUUUUAAAGAUGGAAAUGAGUUGGAUUCUGGUUUUGAUAGCUUGGACAUUGAGGAAGGUGGGUCUGGCGCUAGAAGGGCUUUGGAAUUUGAUUCUUUGGCUGAAGAAUUUGAUGCGAAAGGUGGAGAUCUGACGGGUACAGAAGUGGAAGUUGAAGGGGAAAAUGGGAAAUUGGGGAUGGAGAAGGUGGAGAACAAACGACGGAAAUUGGAUGAAAAGAAAGAGAAGAAGAAGAAG